rnacentral:rRNA from 1 species
UGGCGCGUGCCCUAGGUAUGCAAGUCGAACGCUAAAUUUUGGUGCUUGCACUAAAAUUUGGAGUGGCAGACGGCUGAGUAAUUACAUAGGAACAUACCCUGAAGACGGGCAUAGCUCACCGAAAGGUGGGGUAAUUCCCGAUGGUCUAGUAAUAGUAAACGCUUUUGCGCUUCAGGAUUGGCCUAUGGCCUAUCAGAUUGUUGGUGAGGUAACGGCUUACCAAGUCUAUGACGGGUAGCUGGUCUGAGAGGAUGGUCAGCCAGACUGGGACUGCGAAACGGCCCAGACUCCUACGGGAGGCAGCAACUAGGAAUUAUGCACAAUGGACGAAAGUCUGAUGCUGCGACGUCGCGUGGAGGAUGAAGGUCUUAGGAUCGUAAACUCCUUUUAUGGGUGAACAAGUUCUGAGUGUAACCCAUGAAUAAGUGCCUGCCAACCACGUGCCAGAAGCAUCGGUAAUACGUGGGACACAAGCGUUAUCCGGAUUUACUGGGCGUAAAGAGAUGCGUAGGCGUCUUCUUAAGUCUUUUGUUAAAUCUUUCGAUUCAAUCGAAAAACCGCAGAAGAUACUAAGUUGAUUGAGUAAGUUAGGGAAGAGAGGAAUUCCUGGUGGAGAGGUUAAAUUCGUUGAUAUCAGGAGGAACACCAAUAGCGAAGGCAUCUCUUUGGAACUUUACUGACGCUAAGGCUCGAAAGCGUGGGGAGCAAAACGGAUUAGAUACCCGUGUAGUCCACGCUGUAAACUAUCCCUGUUAGGUGUUUGUCUAAACCUUUGAUUGUCUUUCGGGACAGGAUUGGGUCAGAUGAGUGCCGCAGCUAACGCGUUAAACAGGGCGCCUGGGGAGUACGGUCGCAAGACUAAAACUCAAAGGAAUUGACGGGGACCCGCACAAGCAGUGGAGCGCCUGGUUUAAUUCGAUGAUCAGCGAAGAACCUCACCUGGGCUUGAAGUGUAGCUGCAACGCCGGUGAAAGCCGGAAUCCUUCGAGGGUGCUACAAAGGUGCUGCAUGGCUGUCGUCAGCUCGUGUCGUGAGAUGUAGGGUUAAGUCCCACAACGAGCGCAACCCCUAUCUGAUGUUAAAAUUACUUCAGAGACUGCCCCAUCUCAGUGGGGAGGAGGGAGGGGAUGACGUCCAGUCUUCAUGGCCCUUAUGUCCAGGGCUACACAGACGCUACAAUGGCCAUUACAAUGGGUUGCCAAACCGCGAGGUGGAGCUAAUCCCAUCAAAAGUGGUCUCAGUUCAGAUUGCAGGCUGCAACUCGCCUGCAUGAAGUCGGAAUUGCUAGUAAUCGUGCAUCAGCGUGGCACGGUGAAUACGUUCUCGGGUCUUGUACACACCGCCCGUCAGGGCAUGGGAGUCGCUCUUGCUCGAAGUCCUGCUAUAUGUAGCCGACAGUAAACGGUGAGG